AAUGACUGGUUUCCGUCUCGCUUAUGGCGGGGCCCAAGAGUACUUUGGCAUAACUCCUGACCUCACUACCCUAGGGAAGAUUAUCGGAGGUGGUCUUCCUGUUGGUGCCUACGGGGGUAGAAGGGAGAUAAUGGAGAUGGUGGCUCCAGCUGGGCCAAUGUACCAGGCAGGAACCCUCAGCGGGAAUCCUUUGGCGAUGACCGCUGGGAUCCAAACUCUUCUGCGGCUGAAGGAACCUGGACGCUAUGAUUACUUGGACCAGAUCACAGGCCAGCUUGUUUCUGGGAUUUUGGAUGCUGGGAGGAAGGCCGGGCAUGAGAUGUCAGGUGGGUAUAUUCGUGGAAUGUUCGGGUUCUUUUUCACCAAAGGACCAGUGUUUAAUUUUGAGGAUGCUAAGAAGAGCGAUACCGCAAAGUUUGCGAAGUUUCACAGAGGGAUGUUAGAGGAAGGUGUGUAUCUGGCCCCAUCACAGUUUGAGGCAGGGUUUACAAGCUUAGCACAUACUUCUAAAGAUAUCGAGCUUACGGUGGAAGCUGCUGAGAGAGUUUUGCAGCGGAUAUAGCCAGCAGAUGAAACUGUAAGAUUGUUCUUUCUUUUUUCUUUUUUCUUUUUCAUGUAGCCCUUGUUUUUAUUUAUGGUAGCUGAUUUUUCCUGAGAAAUGCAUAAUGUGGCCCCGUUGUCGACAAGGACUUUUAGGAAGUUUAGCUUUGUAGGUUCUUAUGUCUGUUGUAAGUUUG
rnacentral:misc_RNA from 1 species